rnacentral:RNase_P_RNA from 1 species
AAGGAAAACCGAGUUGCCGCGGCCGCAAGGCUGAGGAAAGUCCGGGCAACGCAGAGCACCAUACUUCCUAACGGGAAGGCGCGCGCAAGUGCGACAGACAGUGCCACAGAAACGAUACCGCCCGCUUGCGGGUAAGGGUGAAAACGUGAGGUAAGAGCUCACGCCGCCGUCAGUGAUGCCGGCGGGGGUAAACCUUAUGGGUUGAAAGACCAAAUAAACCGGGGCUUGAGGGCUGCUCGUCCGACCCGGAGGGUAGGUUGAUAGAGACAUGCGGCGACGUAUGCCCAAGAUAAAUGACAACAUAGAACAGAACCCGGCUUACGGGUUUUCCUUUUUU